GACAGAGGAGCCAAGCGUUGUCCGGAGUAACUGGGCGUAAAGGGUCCGCAGGCGGCGCGGCGCGUGGGGUGUGAAAGCUGGCGGCUUAACUGCCAGAGGCCACCUCAUACGGCCGCGCUCGAGCGUGGCAGAGGUCCGUGGAAUUGCCGGUGUAGUGGUGAAAUGCGUAGAGAUCGGCAGGAACACCCAGGGGGAAACCAGCGGACUGGGCCAGCGCUGACGCUCAGGGACGAAAGCGUGGGGAGCGAACUGG
rnacentral:rRNA from 1 species